AAGAAAAAAGAGAGUACUUCUGAAACACAUUUUCUUCAGCCGUUUCAUAGAGACUGCCUUCUUUCCUGGUUUAACAAAACCCACCCACCUGACAAAGUGAAUCCAAUUUCACCAUUACUUUUCCUUAUCGUUCGGCCAGAACAGGGUCCUCUACCCACGACGCUACUUUGGUCUCACCUCCUCUUUCUAUCUCUAGAUGAUACACUGCAUUUCCCCAGCCAAAUUUUCUCCGUUUUCAGUUUACUCAUUUUCAUUGUCCGCAACAGGAUCAACACUUUCUCUAUUUUGGGCUUCAUUGUGGAAAUUACCUCACGCUACACGACACAGAAUCCACAAUCCCCAUACCUGCAAAGACUCACGCAGGUCGCUUCACCAUAUUCUCAGGCCAAGCAGAAUCCACACAGUAUCUCGCUAGCGCCACUGCUCGCUUAGCUCCUCUCACUCUUAUCACAAGCAGGGUCUCAUAUUAAUCUAACGUUGCAGCACCUUCCGUCCCUACAGUCCCAUUUCGGCCAACUGAUUCCUCCCUUCUCUCGUUUGAAAUUCAGAAUAACGUGGGCAUUACAAGUCAUUUGUUUGCAAAGGGUGAACGAGAGUCAUUAUCAUGGCAUCUUCAAGCCAGUUGGCCCAUGAAACCUCACUAAAGGAACAGCAUCUCCAAUGAUGGAAUGAACUAGUUUGGAUCACAGAAUCUUAACAGGCCAUUGAAGGAAAUAUUAAUGUUGAUAUUGGGGCAUCUCAUCCAUUUGAUGGCUCAAAGAGUGAGAUAAGACCAGUGAACCUAGCAAGUCUAACCAGUUGUUGGGAUAUGCUUUCGAAGGAUUCACAAGUAGCAUUUGAGGCCAAUUAUGGGAAGAUUGCAACUAUUUUAAAGGUCAGAAUUCAUGAUACAGCUUUGAAGGCAGUGAUUUCUCUAUGGAUUCCCAGAUAUAGAGUCUUGUCCUUUAAUGACAUUGAUUCAACCCCUGCCAUGAAGGAAUAUCAGACACUACUCCAAAUUCCUUAUAAAGCUCCAAAUUUGGUCUAUUUGCAUUUGGAUAACAAGAGAACUUGGAAGCAAUUUGCUUAUAUAAUGGAUAUUCCAUCCCAAGCUGUGAAAGAAAGGGAAGCUAAUAGGUGUGAAUCCCAUGGAUGGUCUUGGAAAUAUAUGGAGCAAAUCUUUCAGGAUCACAUGGAGAAAGGAAAGUUCGAAUCAGCAAUGAAGGUCUUAGCUUUGGGUAUUUAUGGAUUAAUUCUGCUUUCAGGACCGCGCGAUAGGUUUAGCCAUACUAUAUUAAAAUUAUUUCACAGCAUGGAAGUUCAUAAAAUAAACCCCAUUCAAGCCAUCCUUGCAAAGACCUUGUUAACGUUAUCUUACUGCUGAACAAAAGGAAAUGGUAGUCUGAAUGGAUGUUGUCAGUUGUUGUAUCUAUGGUUGCUGAGUCACAUUUUUGCCGCAAGAGACAAGGACAUUAACUUGGUUUUCUGACCAAUCAAUUAUUGAUAAUAUGGUACAACUAAGCCUGAAGCAAGAAGACCAGGAUGAAAACAAGUGGAUAGAAAGGAUUUUGAGUUUUAACAGCACAAUUUAUUGUCGGAAGAAGUUGUGGCGCUCAAAUGAACCAUUUAUGUUCAAAACUAACAAUUUUCAAUUUAUGCCCUUGAUGGGAGUUACCGGAUGUAGUGGCUACUCAACUGCGUUGGUUAUGCGUCAAUUUGUUUCAACUCAGUUCAUUCCUCAAACGAAAGGGUUUUCUGAAAUACAUUUUUAUUAUAAGGAAGAGGGAAAGAAAGAUGAGCUAAAAAAGAUACAUCAAUCAUGGGAAAAAGUCAUCCUAAACGGCGAAACUAGAGGGCCCAGCACAACAGAAGGUUAUCCCAUGCAGAGGAAAAAGAGAGAUAUAGGAUAUGAUGUUCCUAGUUUGAUGGGUCCUGAGAAUAAAACUCCCCAAGAAAACAUUGUUGAAGAUUAUUUUGAGGAAGUCAGAGCCAGACAAGAUGUUUAUUUUCAAAAAUUAGAUCAUGAAAACCAAUAGUUGCAGGAUCAAAUUAAGCAACUAAAGGCAGAAAGAGAUAAAUUAAUACAAGAUUCCCAGCAAGCUAGAAAGAAUGAAAAGAAGAGGUUUAGAGAUGAAAUGUGGGCAAUCAAAACGGAAUACAAAGAAGGUAAAUGUCAAUGGGAGAGAGGGAAAUCAGUGCUUCAAAGGAAAGUAAAAGAAGCUGGGUUACAGAAUAACAAGUUGCAAGAAGAACUUAAUCAUCAAAUGAUGUUAGUGGACAAGUAUAAACAUGAGCUGCAUGUGAAACAGAUUAAAUAUGAUGGACAAUCUCAGUUGAUCGCUGACAGUUUGAAAGAAUGUGCCAAAGAAAAAGCUGAGAAAGAGCAUCACGCCACUAUCUAGAACUAAAGGAGAAUGUAGAUAGAGGAGAGGUUGUAUGAAUAUUUGAAGAAGUGCCAUAGGAUCUUGCAAAGUCUCCCAGAGCCUAGGCCUUAGCUUGCUUUUCUUUAUUUCCAAAUUAUGAGCAACUAAAGCGAUGAUUAUUAAUACAAUGGAAUUUCAAGAUUUUGCACUAAUAUUCUGAU
rnacentral:misc_RNA from 1 species